AUUCUGUUAUUCCUGAAUCGAUAAAAGUGAAUGUGUCCACAAUAAGUAGUUCAUUGAGUAGACACUGGAACAUUGUAUAACAAAGUGUGAUAUGGGUUGGUGAUCGAAUAUGUUAGGGUUAGUAUCAUUAAGUGUAGCAGGGGAGGUAUGUUAUGUCAGUGGGGACGAAUAGCAUGAAGCUGAGAGAAGUGACACAUCUCUUUGUCUCUUCCAAACACGGUAGGCUUUGUAUAUUCUAAUAAUUUUUCUGCAUCAAUUUGCUUUCUGAAGAUCAUUCAUUGCUAUGACCAGGCCUCACCUUGCACACUUUGGGGAUCUCUAAUGCAGUCUGCCUGAGGAACUACUUUGCAGAUGACACUUGAAAGUCUGAAACUUGUGGACCAUGACGUCAAAGCUGAUGAAAUCACACAGAGGGACAAUACCUGGAGCAACAGGAAGGCUACAAAGAAUUACUCUGGCUUUUGGACUAGGGAGAAAAUCAGUGAGCUGAUUCCAGUGGCUCUGAUGCUGGUGCUUAUGCUGUUAAACAACACCUGGCUCAUGCCUCGUCUGUGGCCUCUGACCAAUAGCGUUCGGGGAAGCAAAAACAAUAGUUAAACAUAGACUAAGUUGCUUGUUCACUGGAAGCAUCACCUAAUGCCCGGUGUUACUGUAGCUGUAAGAAGGGACUGGGCCAACUGCUGAAUGCUGUCAGAGAGUUGAUACAGCUCAAUGGGAGAACACCUGGUCAUAAACGAGCAGCUUUGAGGCAGGAUUUCGGAACUGGGUUGUGCAACAAUGUAAGUAUACAAUAAACAAAGGAGAGGGAAAAAAAGGAAAGAGACA
rnacentral:lncRNA from 1 species